GAUGAACGCUGGCGGCGUGCUUAACACAUGCAAGUCGAACGAUUAACCCACCUUCGGGUGGUUAUAGAGUGGCGAACGGGUGAGUAACACGUGACCAACCUACCCCUUACAUUGGGAUAACUCAGAGAAAUCUGUGCUAAUACCAAAUACUCCGGAUAAAUCGCAUGGUUUUUCCGGGAAAGCUUUUGCGGUAAGGGAUGGGGUCGCGGCCUAUUAGGUAGUUGGUGGGGUAACGGCCUACCAAGCCUGCGAUAGGUAGCCGGGUUGAGAGACUGAUCGGCCACAUUGGGACUGAGAUACGGCCCAGACUCCUACGGGAGGCAGCAGUGGGGAAUUUUGCGCAAUGGGGGAAACCCUGACGCAGCAACGCCGCGUGCGGGAUGACGGCCUUCGGGUUGUAAACCGCUUUCAGUGGGAAAGAUUAUGACGGUACCCACAGAAGAAGCUCCGGCUAACUACGUG
rnacentral:rRNA from 1 species